CAAUAGCGUAUAUUAAAGUUGUUGCGGUUAAAAAGCUCGUAGUUGGAUUUCUGCUGAGGACGAUCGGUCCGCCCACUGGGUGAGUAUCUGGCUCGGCCUUGGCAUCUUCUUGGAGAACGUUGCUGCACUUGACUGUGUGGUGCGGUAUCCAGGACUUUUACUUUGAGGAAAUUAGAGUGUUUCAAGCAGGCGCACGCCUUGAAUACAUUAGCAUGGAAUAAUAAGAUAGGACCUUGGUUCUAUUUUGUUGGUUUCUAGAACUUAGGUAAUGAUUAAUAGGGACAAUUGGGGGCAUUUGUAUUAACACGUCAGAGGUGGAAUUCUUGGAUUGUGUUACGACAAACUACUGCGAAAGCAUUUGCCAAGGAUGUUUUCAUUGA
rnacentral:rRNA from 1 species